UACGUAGGUGACAAGCGUUGUCCGGAUUUACUGGGCGUAAAGAGCGCGCAGGCGGUCGAUCAAGUCGAGUGUGAAAGCCCCCGGCUCAACUGGGGAGGGUCAUUCGAUACUGAUCGACUCGAAGGCAGGAGAGGGUAGUGGAAUUCCCGGUGUAGUGGUGAAAUGCGUAGAUAUCGGGAGGAACUCCGGUGGCGAAGGCGGCACGCUGGACCUUUUCUGACGCUGAGGCGCGAAAGCGUGGGGAGCGAACAGG
rnacentral:rRNA from 1 species